ACAGUAAGUGUCUGCUAUGAAACAUUACUCAUGCAGGACCAUUCUCUAUUUGCUGAUCUUCACAAUCCUCAUCCUCACUCUGGAUGCUCAGAAUCAUGGUGAAAUUACCACUGUUACACAGAAUAAUCUCACAGUCAGCACGACUUCUGUUCCUGACAAUACAGAAACCUUGUUGCUGUACGUGUACUCUGCUGCUGGGAUCACCACAUUCGUCAUCAUAGUCAUAAUCAUAUCUGUCAUAUCAAUGCGAGGCUGUAAAGGGAAGCCAAAGAAAGACAGUCAAGUUGAAAAUCAGAUGGAGAUCCCCAUGGUGGAUCAAUUCUUUUCAAAAGUCAUCUUCAAGCACUUGGAAAGAGGAAAGAGGAAGACCCUCUGCUCUGCGAUCUCGGAGAUGUAACAAGGACACCAUCAUCGUAACUCAAUGAGCUGACAUUAUCAAGAUAUGAUGAACAGGCAUAUUGACCAAGGAGGGCAAUAUGCCUGCUCGAGGAGGAGAGCAGCUAUGUUGUGUUUGCUGCUCCCAACCACAAGCUGUACAAUUAGCAGGUGAUG
ensembl:lncRNA